rnacentral:rRNA from 1 species
GUUAGGAAUAUUGGACAAUGGGCGAAAGCCUGAUCCAGCCAUGCCGCGUGAACGAUGAAGGCCCUCGGGUUGUAAAGUUCUUUAGCCGACGAUUAUAAUGACUGUAGUCGGAAAAUAAGCUCAGGCUAACUUCGUGCCAGCAGCCGCGGUAAUACGAAGGGGGCUAGCGUUGCUCGGAAUUACUGGGCGUAAAGGGCGCGUAGGCGGACAGCUUAGUCAGAGGUGAAAGCCCAGGGCUCAACCUUGGAAUUGCCUUUGAUACUGGCUGUCUUGAGUUUGGGAAAGGUGGGUGGAACUCCGAGGGUAGAGGUGAUAUUCGUAGAUAUUCGGAGGAACACCAGUGGCGAAGGCGGCUCACUGGCUCGAUGCUGACGCUGAGGUGCGAAAGCGUGGGGAGCAAACAGGAUUAGAAACCCCGGUAGUCC